GUAUAUAUAAAAAGUCUUCCUCCAUUUCUCUCACAACUCUCUAGCUCCCUCAGACUUACUUGAUCUACUCUCUUUGUUCAGACUAACCAAAACCAUGGCGGUGGGAGAGCUCUUUCUCUCUGCAUUCAUUCAGGUGCUGUUUGACAGAUUGGCACCCCGAGAGUUGCUGCAGUUUGCACUUCAAGAUGGUGUACUUUCAGAGCUUGAAAACUGGAAACCGAAGUUGCAUCAUAUUGAUGCAUUGCUUAUUGAUGCAGAGCAGAAGCAACUGACGUCCAGAGCUGAGAAAUUGUGGCUUGAUGAUCUCCGAGAUUUGGCUUAUGAUGCAGAGGACAUUCUUGAUGAGUUUGCCUUUCAUGCUUUGGAAUGUAGAUUGAUGGCAGAAAAUUGUCGCAGCAGGGUACAAAACAUGAUCCCAACUUGUUUCACAUGUUUGAGUCCUCGUGCUAUUAGGUUCAAAGUCAGUAUAAAGCCCAAAAUAGAAGAAAUCAACAGUCGGUUAGAUAAACUUUGUGAAAAACGUAAUCUUGGGUUGACAGCAGCAAUUUGUGGAAGCUCAUCAAGUGCUCCAUACCGAAGAGUAACACAAACAUGUGUGCCAAAUGAACCUGCUGUUUAUGGGAGAGAUGAAGAUAAAGCCAGAAUACUUGAAAUGAUGUUUAGGGAUGAACCAAGCAGUGCCAAAUUUCGUGUGAUAACCAUUGUUGGAAUGGGAGGAAUUGGCAAAACUACGCUUGCUCGAGAAGUCUACAAUGACAAGGAGGUGAAAGAUUUCAACCCAAAAGUGUGGGUUUCUGUCUCUUAUGAUUUUGAUGUUCUAAGAAUCUCCAAGGCAAUCCUCGAGUCAAUCAACCUUUACCCAUGCAGUUUAAUGGAUUUAAAUCCAAUUCAGCUUGCACUAACAGAGCAAGUACGUGAUAAAAAAUUCCUGCUUCUUUUAGAUGAUGUUUGGAGUGAAGCAGAUAUUAAUGAAAAGUGGGAAUCCUUGAAAUCUCCUUUUAUGGUGGGAGCGCUUGGAAGUAAGAUAAUUGUGACAACACGCCAUAAAAGUGUAGCAUCAACAAUGGGAAACGGUGAAUGUUAUAACUUGGAGCUUCUUUCAGACCAUGACUGUUGGGCAAUAUUCAACAAACAUGCAUUUCAGGAAAAAGACAUUGAUCCAAAUGGAAUUUCAGACUCUGUUCGUGAGAAAAUUGUUGAAAAGUGCAGAGGUUUGCCCUUAGCCGCAAAGACUCUUGGUGGCCUUCUACGUUCUGAGGAGAUACAUAAAUGGAAAUCUAUACUGGAUGAGAAGUUAUCAGAUGAAAAUAAUACGAUUCUUCCGGUAUUAAGAUUAAGCUAUAGUCAUCUUCCUUUCUAUUUAAAAAGAUGUUUUGCAUAUUGUGCAAUUUUUCCCAAGAAUUACGAGUUCAUUGAGAAGCAUCUCAUAUUUUUAUGGAUGACACAAGGCCUAAUUCAACCAUCAGAAACCAAUAAGAACCUGGAAGAAAUAGGUGGUAUGUACUUUCACAAUCUGUUGUCAAGAUCCCUUUUUCAAAAAUCAGGAAAAGAUGGUUCAACAGUUAUAAUGCAUGAUCUUGUCCAUGAUCUAGCCCUAUGGGUUUCUCAAAGAACAUGCUUAGAGCUGAACAAUAAAUUGGAUCAUAGGGAGGAAUGUGUCAAUAUGGCUCGAUAUUCUUCUUACACUUCUAGUAAUUACGAUGGUAAGCAUAAAUUUGAAGUCCUUAGCGAAGCCAAGCGCAUAAGGACAUUCUUGCCACUGCGUCUAUAUGAUGAUGGUACUCGCUACAUAACCUCUUUAGUUGUUUAUGAUAUUUUGCCAAAGCUGAAAAAACUGAGGAUGCUAUCUUUAGCAACAUAUAAUAUCACUAAGCUACCAGAUUCAAUAGGAAGCUUAAUUCAUUUGAGGUAUCUCAACCUUUCUCAAACGAAGAUCAGAUAUUUACCAGAGUCAACAAGUUCAUUGUACAACUUGCAAAUUUUUUUACUAACAGAUUGUUGUUUCCUCUUGAAGCUACCUACCAAGAUGAGGAAUUUGAUCAAUCUACGUCAUCUUGAUAUAUCAGGUGCAAAUUUGAUAUCAGAAAUGCCUUUAGGAAUGAAAUAUUUGACACGUCUCCAAACAUUAUCCAAUUUUAUAGUGGGGAAAGGUAUUGGAUCUGGUUUAGAAGAUUUGAAGUAUUUAAAGGAUCUUGGUGAAAAGCUUUGUAUCUCAAAGCUAGAGAAUUCACAGUGUCCAAGAGCAUUGAUAUUAGGAGAUAAGGAUAAGCUAAAAGUCUUGGUGUUGGAAUGGAGUCCUGAUCUUGAUAAUUCAAGAGACAAAGCAGCAGAAAAAUAUGUUCUUGAAAUGCUGCAGCCUCAUGAGAAGCUGGAAGAACUCACAAUCAAAUAUUAUGCGGGCACUGAGUUUCCACCUUGGGUGGGGGAUUGCUCGUUAUCCUCGACACCAGUGGAAUUAAGAGUCCUAAGGUUGGAGAGUUGUAAAAACUGCACUUCUUUGCCUUCACUUGGGUUAUUUACAUCACUAAAAGAACUCACGAUCAAGGACAUGGCCGGUAUAAAACAGAUUGGUUCGGAAAUAUAUGGGGAGGGUAGCUUUCAAUCAUUGGAGAAUCUUUAUUUUGAUGAUAUGGAAGAAUGGGAGCAUUGGGAUCCUAUUGACCAAAAUGAGACUAUUCAAAUAUUCCCUCGCCUUCAGAAGCUUUCCAUAAAAAAUUGCCCCAAACUCUCUCGAGCACCACUUAAUCAUCUUCAGUCAUUGGAGAAACUUGUGAUUUUUAAUUGCCUGCAGUUGGUGGCUUCCUUCUUGGGCAGCCUUCCAAGGCUGUGUGAAUUAGAAAUAGAUGGAUGCAAAGAGAUGACUUGCAACAGUCUAACUGGUUCCAAAUCACUGAAAUCUAUGACUCUUUCAGAUUUUUCUGAGUUUGGCAACUGGUUGAGACUAGAACCAUCUACCCUCACCUCCCUCCAAUCGCUAUGUAUUCCAAACUGCAGGGCUCUGACAUCCUUACCUGAAGGUCUGAAGAAUUUUUCUCAUCUUGAAUGUUUAGAGAAUGCAGGUUGUGAUUCUCUAACAUCUAUUGUGAGAGAGCAAUUGCCUUCAUCAUUAAAGAGGUUUUCUGUAUCAGAUUGUAUGAAUCUGCAAUGUGUGUUUGACAGUAUAGCGGAUUCUUCUUCUUCAAUGAGUAAUGAAUCUUCUCUUGACUAUAUGUCAAUCUCCAACUGCCCAACUCUCAAGUGCUUAUCAUUGGAAGGCCAAUCAUUUGCAGAACUAAAAACUCUUGAGAUUUGGAAUUGCCCAUUGCUCAUAUCAUUAUCACCAAGGGGUGAGUUACCGGCAGCAAUCAAACACCUUCAGAUUUGGAAAUGCACAGAGUUCACAACCUUAGUCAGAGACAAGUUACCUGAGAUGAUUGAGUUCCUGCAAAUCGACAGGUGCCCGAAGCUAGAGUCAAUAGCAGGAAGGUUUCAUAAUAACCUGUCUCUUCGUUUCGUCCGGAUUUCAAAUUGCAAAAAACUUCAGUCCUUCCCUGAUGGUUUACAAAGUCUUAGUGGUCUUCAUGGGAUUGAAAUAAAUGACUGUCCAAGUCUUGUUUUCUUCCCACAAGGAGGGCUUCCAACCUCCAUUUUCAGUGUUUCAAUUCGUAAUUGUGAGAAACUUGGAGCUUUACCCGGCAGCAUGAACAAGCUCAACUGUCUUCAGGAACUAACCAUUCACAAAUGUCCAAGAAUCCGAUCAAUUCCUGCAGAAAGUCUCCCCAUCAACCUAACAUCACUCUCGGUUGAAAAUCAGAAUACCAGUGAAUCAUCGCUCGUUGACUGGAAGUUGCAGAGGUUGAGAAGUCUUAAACAUCUUUCAAUUCUUGGAUGCUCAGAUGCAGUGUGUUUUCCACCUGAGAAAAUGAUACUGCCCUCCUCUUUAAUUAAGCUGGAUAUUCAGAACUUCCAGAAAUUGAAAGACCUAUUUCCCCAGGGUUUCGAAAGCCUCACUUGUCUAGAACAUUUAUUAAUUGGAGAGUGCCCGCUUCUCGCAUCCCUUCCAAAGGGUGGUCUUCCAUCUUCACUCUUACAAUUGCGUAUUUUUGGUUGUCCUGUGCUGGAAAAAAGGUGCAGAAGGAAUAAAGGAAAAGACUGGUCUAAGAUAUCUCACAUUCCUUUUGUUGAGAUAGAUCACAAAUUCAUUUAUGAGGAGUAAGCUCAAUUUGAUGUCCAAAAUGCAUUCUUUCUUUAUACUCGGAGAUGAAGUUUUCAUCUCUGUUCUUCAAUUGAACUGCUUCUUCGUUCAUGCAACAGUAUUGGGUGAAAGUUCUCUACCCUGUUGAGAUUCAUGGAGCAAGACAAGCUCCUUGCUUCACUAUGUACGUUAGUGAAGAGACUUGAAAAGCUGUCCCCUGAGUUAAAGCUGGUUGCAGUAUCUGUUCAAAACGGCCCAGGUUUACAGAUAUAUCAAUGGAAGGGCAUAUUGGAGACUUUUGUCAAAGCCAUCGAUGGAAAGAUUUAUGAGAAAACGCUCCAGUCCAAAUGUAAUGAGUGGCUGGCCGGUGUCAAAGUGUUGGCUGCUGAUGUGGAAGAAAUACUGGAUGAGAUUGCUGGAAAUAAGACGUUGGAAGAAUCAUCAAAAAAGAGCUUUCCUUUCUGCACACGCAGGAAAAAUGAAGUUGUUCCAACAGUUAAUGAUGGUCUUAGAAACAAAAUAUUCCACACAAGCAGCCAACUGGCCGCACUCAAUGACAAGAGGCAUGGAAUAGGACUGCAAGUGAGCAACAAAUCUGUGCCCAGUAGUAGGCCCGAAUUGGGCAACAAAUCCGCCGGUUUGCCCAAUUCGGGGGCUAUAUAUGGGAGAGACUUUACUGAUCAAACCAAUCCGGGAAACUUGAGCAUGGUGGAAAUUUGUGUUUUCUAAUGCUUGCAGUUUGUUUUUUAUGUUCUGAAUAAGUGUUAAACAAGUGUUGUGUUUCCUUUUUCAUUUCCAUGCGCUUUUGAUGGAAUAAAUGUAGAAGACUUCGGUUUUCAAGAAAUAUUAGUAGAAAAACAGAUGACUCUGUGCAGAAAAUUUCAUGAUACACUGCAACCUUGAUGGAUA